rnacentral:lncRNA from 1 species
GGUAAUUAAAUUUUCCUCUACAACUUUCUUGCAACCAAACACAUAAUGAUUGUCUUUUCUUCCCUCUUUCCCUUCUUCACAUUUCUUUCCUCCAUCAUUCCCCUAUUCAAAACAAAGCUUAAGUAUUUAAAUCUUAAACAACUAUGCCUUCACGGGAUUACUUUGACAAUUGAAACCUGUUCAGCUUAGCAUAAUAUUAAUUCUUCCUCAUUUUAUUGGCAAAAAAAAAAACAACAACACUAAGGUGAAACAAUGAUAACCUCUAGAUUCAGUUUCAUUUUUUUAUUAUUCAUAUUUUGGCAUUACUAUAAUAAAAACAACAAGCAAGAAACAUGUGAUAACAUUUUUGUCACCUUAACAGCCAUGAGCAAGGGAUCAUUCUGUCCUCAUGAACCACUUUUUGUUCAUUCACCGAAUAAUAAGCCACUUUUAAGAUUGUUUUGUUGUGAUUACUAUCACAAUUAUAAUGUUAAUCUAUCUCGUGAACACACACAGACUGUACUCACAUGACAUAACUGUUACCAAAUGACACUAUUAAGACUAAAAUAAUGUAAAUAAUUGUUCAACUAACAUUCUAAACACCGUUAUAAAUAAACUCUUAGAGAGGUAAUAGGUAACACAACAUAACAUAUUAAGUAAGCACCUGGUUAAUCAAUUAGGAGAGUAUGGCACAUUCCAGUGGAAAGACUUUGGUGCAGUGGAUGGUAGCAGCAUUGAUCUUUGCCAUGUUGGGUGGAAGUCUAGCU